CUCCUAAAAUCCCCUUCCCUUGAAGCGCCGCCCACACAAACCCCGCCUCCGCCGCCGCCGCCGCCGCCGGAGAUGCUCUUCGCCGCCGCGGCCGUGCAGCGCCGGUGGCCCUAGCUCGAGAAGGAGCCGGAGCUCUGCACACCCUCCCCGCGCCAUGAGACCCUGCCCCUUCCUCGGAUGCCCUUCCGACCGCGCCUCCCGCUCCCCCUCCUCCUCCUCCUCCUGCCUCACCUCCGGCGCCGCCGCUCCUCCCCCCGCCCGCCCGUGCCCGCGUGGAGACCGCUCUCGUAUUAUCCCUCGGCGGCGGCCGCGGCGGCGGAGGUGACGGAGUCCGAGGAGGACGCGGCGGCUGUUGGCAGGGACACCCGAGCCCCUCCCUCCAUCGGCGGGAUUGCACGGGGAGCGCCUAGGGUUGGCUGCAAUGGCGGGGGGGCUGCCGAUGACGAGGAGGUCGAGAGGAAGGCCCGCGCUGUCGCGCGGAUCAAGCUCUGCCAUGAGCUUCUGCGGGAGAGGAGGUGGCGCGCGAUGCGGGCAGCCUUGGCGCAGCUGGUGACUGAGCAAGGAUCUGGGUCUGCAGCUGCUCUCUGUGACAUCUUAUGGAACAGAUUCAGAGAGUGUGAUUCCAACGGUUGUGUAUGGGAUGCUCUAGCGAACAGUUAUGCUAGAGCUCAGAUGGUUCAUGAUGCCCUUUACGUUCUUAGUAAAAUGAGCAGCCUAAACAUGCAAAUCUCGGUGUUCACCUAUGACAGUUUAUUGCACGGCUUAAGGAUGACAGACGUGGCAUUGGAGCUUUUUGAAGAAAUGGAGUCUUGUGGUGUCUCUCCCAGUGAAUAUUCGCAUAGUAUUAUUAUUAAUGGCCUCUGUAAGCAAGAUAAGGUUGGAGAAGCUUUAUCUUUCCUUCAGGAAGCUAGGAAGGAGGGAAAGUUUAAACCCUUGGGAAUGACCUUUAACAUUCUUAUGUCUGCAUUGUGUAAUUGGGGGUUUGUUCAGUCUGCAAAAUCAUUUUUAUGCCUGAUGCUGAAAUAUGGAUUAGUCCCUGACAGGUAUACCUUUUCUACCCUUAUACACGGUCUAUGUAAAGUAGGUUCAAUGGAGGAAGCAUUGGAUCUUUUCGAGAGAGUGACAAAAGAAGGAAUGGAACUUGAGAUUGUGACCUACAAUAGCCUUAUCAAUGGGUACCGAUUGCUUGGUUUAACAAAAGAAAUUCCUAAAAUCAUCCAGAUGAUGAGAGGCCAAGGUGUUGAACCUGAUCUUGUUACAUAUACUAUACUUAUUGCUGGUCACUGCGAAAGUGGUGAUGUUGAAGAAGGAAUGAAGGUAAGGAAGGAUGUCCUAGACCAAGGUUUGCAGUUGAAUAUUGUCACAUAUAGUGUCCUUCUCAAUGCUCUCUUCAAAAAAGGCAUGUUCUGCGAAAUUGACAACCUACUCGGCGAGAUCUACAAUAUUGGUUUGGAUAUGGAUGUUAUCGCAUAUUCCAUCCUUAUCCAUGGGUAUUGCAAGCUAGGGGAAAUUGAAAAGGCUCUUCAAGUAUGUAAUGCAAUGUGCAGUUCUCAGAGGGUAAUGCCAACAUCACUGAACCAUUUUUCUAUUCUUCUAGGACUUUGCAAGAAAGGAUUGUUAGUUGAAGCAAGGUGGUAUUUGGAAAAUGUAGCUAGAAAAUAUCAGCCAACUGAUGUAGUGUUCUAUAAUGUCGUUAUUGAUGGUUAUGCAAAACUUGGUGAUAUUGUAAAUGCUGUUCGUUUGUAUGAUCAGAUCACUGUAGCUGGUAUGCACCCAACCAUUGUCACAUGCAAUUCUCUUCUAUAUGGGUAUUGUAAAAUUGGGGAUCUGCAACUUGCCGAGAGCUAUUUUAGGGCUAUUCAGCUAAGUGGACUUCUACCAACAGCAGUGACAUACACUACCUUGAUGGAUGCACUCUCUGAAGCUGGAGAAGUUAAUACCAUGCUAAGUCUUUUUGAUGAAAUGGUUGCAAAGAGGAUCAAGGCAAAUGCAGUAACUUACAGUGUCAUUGUUAAAGGGCUUUGUAAGCAGCUCAGAUUUGAUGAGGCUAUCAAUGUUCUCAAAGAUAUGGAUAGCAAAGGUAUUAAUGCUGACCCGAUAACUUACAAUACCCUUAUACAAGGUUUCUGUGAAUCAGAAAACGUUCAGAUGGCUUUCCACAUACAUGACAUCAUGUUAUGCCGUGGCCUUGUGCCGACACCUGUUACUUAUAACUUGCUUAUUAAUGUGCUGUGUUUGAAGGGAAAAGUUAUUCAAGCAGAAAUACUUUUGGAGUCCCUCAGAGAAAAUGGCAUUAAGUUGAGAAAAUUUGCGUACACAACACUUAUCAAAGCUCAGUGCGCAAAAGGAAUGCCUAUCAAUGCUGUUUUGUUAGUUGGUAAGCUUCUAGAUGCAGGAUUUGAAGCUUCUAUUGAAGAUUUCAGUGCAGCAAUCAAUCGACUUUGCAAAAGACAAUUUGCCAAAGAAGCCUUUAUGUUUGUCCCGAUUAUGCUAUCUGUUGGUAUUUACCCAGAUACUCAAAUAUAUUGUGUGCUAGGCAGAGCUCUGCAGAAAAAUAGUGAGCUUGUCUAUCUACCCAUAUUAAAUGCACUUGCUGUUAAAACUGGUAUUUAAUACCUUGAGCAUGUUUUAUAGGCACUAUGCCCUUGACUCCUUGUGUCUCGAUAAUCGACAAUUGAGGACAAUAUUGGCCCAGGGAAUCACAGGAUCCAUAUGUUGUGCCAAAGAUGCCCGGACUGAGCGCAUGUCAUUUGGUGAUCUUUUUAGCUGAAUCUGCAAUGGUGAAUAUUUCUUAGAUCCAUCAAUGAGGCAGAUAGGCAGAUGGCAUUAAGGUGAGCCAUCACCAUCAGCCAUCCGUGGCUCGUCGGUGGAUGGAGCAACAAAGCAAUCAAGAAAGUAACAUGAAUGUCAUUAGUAGUUGCAGAGAGGCCAUGUAACCAAAAUUAAGUGUCACUCGGUGCUGACUGGAGGUCAUGGAAUGUGAAAUUCCAACGUAUCAACAGAGAUGCCACCCCAAUUGAACUUCAUCCAUGUAACGACGAAUUUUUGGUCAUUGAAGGGUCACUGUGUGGGCAUCACUGAAAACCAAGUUGAUCAGAGGGGAUCCAUGAAGCAUGAAAACCUCCUACUUGUCGGAUGGAAGAGGACAAGGAUGAGGCUAGCCAUCCCACUCUCCUACUGAAGAGCAUCUUGUCAGGUGGCCCCCAGGAUCUCUAGUCUAAGCCCCAAAGAUCUCUUCUACCAAGCUAGCAUCUCCUGAGAUCUCUGUUAGUAUCUGUUGUAUGACCGAAAGCCACAACUUCAGGGCUUGGUGGAAUGGUAGAUGACCACCCUUGUUCUGUUGUUUUUUGUCCUUCAUGUGCUUUAGUCAUUGUCCAUCCUGGGAUUCCAGCGUUUCCCUCUUUAUGUAGUUUGUCUAACAUGCAUUUCACAGUUACACGUUUGUAAUCAGAUCAUGAAUAUUUAGUCAGAAACAAUAGCACUUUGUAUUAAGAUGUACAGCAUUCAUGAUGUAGCCAACUGCAUGUAUAUAUCCAGGUGAAUAGACAACAGAUCAGGAACAGGGAAGACCCAGGAUUUGGAAGCUAGAUGGAGUAUAAAGUGUGUGCAUUCAUGGCAUGGCGCCAAAAUGUGAAGCUGAUGCCCAACAAGCUCAAGGACGACGUGCUAGAGGACAAUCGGAUAAAGCCUCCACUGUUGAUGAUCUGCGGCAAGAGGGAUAGUGACACUUGACCAUGGUAAAAAAAAAAUGAAGAACGGAAUGGAUCCAUGCUGUACUAGUACGUGCAGAUCAGACAUCUGGAUGGAUGGCAUUCAUCUCUGUUACCUUCUGAAAACGCAUCAUCAGCAGCUGGCAGCAGGGAGGGGAAAAGGGAAGAUGAAAAUUUGCCCGUUUCAGAAGGCAAGGGUGGAAGCAGAAUCAUGGGCCAGGUGCUGCACAGGCUCACAGGCACACACACUGCUUGCUUUGGCUUCCACCAGUGGAGACCUGGAGGCACCGAUGUGAGCAUAGCAGGCUGUCGUUGUUGGCGAAAGCCGCGGCAAGAGAGGAUGGCAGAGGAAGAAAGGUGAGGUACUGCAAUGCUGUCUACUGCUCGUGCAGUACAUUAGCAUAUACUACCUCCGUUUCAUAGUACUACUCAGGCCCUGUUUAGUUCAAGGGUGAAAAGUUUUGACGUGUCACAUUGGAUAUACGGACACACGUUUGAAGUAUUAAGCGUAGUCUAAUAACAAAACAAAUUACAUAUUCCGACUGUAAACUGCGAGACGAAUUUAUUAAGUCUAAUUAAUCUAUCAUUAUCAAAUGUUCACUGUAGUACCAUAUUGUCAAAUGGUGGCGUAAUUAGGCUUAAAAGAUUCGUCUCACAAUUUACACGCAAUAUGUGUAAUUAGAUUUUUUUAUCUAUAUUUAAUACUCCAUACAUGUGUUUAAAUA